UACGUAGGGGGCAAGCGUUGUCCGGAAUCAUUGGGCGUAAAGAGCGCGUAGGCGGCCCUGUAAGUCCGCUGUGAAAGUCAAGGGCUCAACCCCUUGAAUGCCGGUGGAUACUGCAGGGCUAGAGUCCGGAAGAGGCGAGUGGAAUUCCUGGUGUAGCGGUGAAAUGCGCAGAUAUCAGGAGGAACACCGAUGGCGAAGGCAGCUCGCUGGGACGGUACUGACGCUGAGGAGCGAAAGCGUGGGGAGCAAACAGG
rnacentral:rRNA from 1 species